AGAGUUUGAUCAUGGCUCAAAACGAACGCUGGCGGCGUGGAUAAGACAUGCAAGUCGAACGGGGCUUUGUUUGUAGCAAUACAAACAAAGUUCAGUGGCGAACGGGUGCGUAACACGUGAGCAAUCUGCCGGGAAGUGGGGGAUAGCUCGCCGAAAGGCGAAUUAAUACCGCAUAUGGCCAGGAAGGACAUUCUUCCGAAGCCAAAGCAGCAAUGCGCUUCCUGAUGAGCUCGCGGCCUAUCAGCUAGAUGGCGGGGUAAAACCCCACCAUGGCUAUGACGGGUAGCUGGUCUGAGAGGACGACCAGCCACACUGGAACUGAGACACGGCCCACACUCCUACGGGAGGCAGCAGUGGGGAAUAUUGCACAAUGGGCGAAAGCCUGAUGCAGCGACGCCGCGUGAGGGAUGACGGCCUUCGGGUUGUAAACCUCUUUCAGCAGGGACGAAGCGCAAGUGACGGUACCUGCAAAAGAAGCACCGGCUAACUACGUGCCAGCAGCCGCGGUAAUACGUAGGGUGCAAGCGUUGUCCGGAAUUACUGGGCGUAAAGAGUUCGUAGGCGGUUUGUCGCGUCGUUUGUGAAAACCAGCAGCUCAACUGCUGGCUUGCAGGCGAUACGGGCAGACUUGAGUACUGCAGGGGGAGACUGUAAUUCCUGGUGUAGCGGUGAAAUGCGCAGAUAUCAGGAGGAACACCGGGUGGCGAGGGCGGGUCUCUGGGCAGUAACUGACGCUGAGGAACGAAGCGUGGUAGCGAACAUGAUUAGAUACCCCUGUAGUCCCACGCAGUAACGUCGGGCGCCUUAGUGUGUUGCUUUCCUUACGACAGAAUGCGUGCAGUAGCUACGCAAUAGCGCCCGCUGAGAGAGGUACCGCCGCAGGCUUAACUCGAAUGUAUUGACCGAGCCUCAGAUACUAGCGACGUGCAUGGUAUUAGUUCGAUGCCAACGCGAAAGAAU
rnacentral:rRNA from 1 species